rnacentral:rRNA from 1 species
CCUACGGGUGGCAGCAGUGAGGAAUAUUGGUCAAUGGGCGAGAGCCUGAACCAGCCAAGUCGCGUGAGGGAGUACUGCCCUAUGGGUUGUACACCUCUUUUGUCGGGGAGCAAAAGCCGGACGUGUCCGGCUGUGAGAGUACCCGACGAAAAAGCAUCGGCUAACUCAGGGCCAGGAGCCGCGGUAAUACGGAGGAUGCGAGCGUUAUCCGGAUUUAGUGGGUUUAAAGGGUGCGCAGGCGGAUUUUUAAGUCAGCGGUCAACUCGUGGGGAUCACCCCCAGCCAGCCGUUGAAACUGGGGAGCUGGAGUGUGCGGGAGGUAUGCGGAAUGCGUGGUGUAGCGGUGAAAUGCAGAGAUGUCACGGAGAACCCCGAUUGCGAAGGCAGCAUACCGGUGCACAACUGACGCUCAGGCACGAAAGCGUGGGUAUCGAACAGGAUUAGAUACCCUUGUAGUC